UACUUCAAUCUAACUCAAGCUCUUUCUCAGCAUCACUUUUAACUCUGGACAGCAGGGAACCGAAGAAAACGGGGGCGAGCUCUCUCUGAUUGGCUUUCAUUCAGUGCUUCUGAUUAAGGGGAAAGGAAAAAAAAAAAAAAGGAAAGGGGGGAAAAAAGCUCUUCCUCACACGGAGAGAAAGGUUCUGCUGAUAGAGCUGCAGCACUCGCCAUGGGAAGGUUAGAGACUGUGGAAGUGCUGGCUUCUGCGAGCACACAGCGAUUUGCAAGUGAAUGCGAGGGGAGGGCGCAUCCGAGAGGAGGGCUUUGCUUGAAAGGCGUCCCCUCCCCCGCAGGGCAGAAAGACUCUCUGUUUCAAGGCUAAGGGAACUUUCUCGGCUUGAUUUUCCAAAUCCCUUCUCUUGUUGCUUAUUGUCACAGGAGUGCAUACCUCGCUCAUCAUUUUGGAAUGUCCGCGAGCCAGUCUUCUCUGCCUAAUCUUUGCAUUUUAAUACUUUAUAGAUAAAAUAUUUUAUUAAAAAUGUAAAUAUGUAAUUAGUGUUAUUAAAAUAUUUAGACUUUGAACUUGA